CUCACAGAGAUCCGCCUGCCUCUGCCUCCCAAGUGCUGGGAUUAAAGGCAUGUGCCACCACCGCCCGGCGUGUUGUACUCCCGAAAUGUGCAGAGUGGAUGUUGAGUGUUCUGCCACAAAUGUGCUGGCUGUGUGAGGCAGGGCCCUAGUGAACUGGCUAUAUCUAUUCAUUUUGCUGGGAUGCUUCAAACCCCACAACAAAUGGAGGAAACACGUGCUUCUGUGAAUCUAAGGCAUAUUCUUCUUAAAGUAACUUAUAAAGUAUGCAUACACUCUCCCCCAUCAAUGGAGAGGACAGGGACGGGUCUCAUAUGCCUCGGUGUCCCACUCAUGGCAGGGAGCUUUACACAGAAGAGACCUACCUCAACGUGGAUUGGUUAAACGGAUGCACAAGUGGCAGGCUCGUGUUGAGAUGACAGAUCCCCACCGUGAGAAGUGUAUGGUCCAGCUGGGAUAAUGAGACAGGGAGCCGGGAUAGCCAGUGACCUCCCCACAUUUUGAUCUCCUCCCUCUUAACAUCCCCACCUUACCAGGCACCUUGCUUUGGUACUUCCUAGUUUUCCUGCUGUAGAGAAAAGCUAAACACAUCACUUUAAAAACACUAGAAAUAUUAUACUGAUGUAUUUUUAUCUCACAAGAAAACAGUGAACAGGAAAUGCUUACCUUGGAAGAAUGGAUGGGAGAAUUUUAGACACUGGGAUCUCUGGAAAAGGUAAUGUAUUGUAACUGCUGUUGUUAACAAGGCAGGGGAUGAAAGAACUGCUUUCUAAGCACAAGUGUGGUGUGUGUGUGUGUGUGUGUGUGUGUGUGUGUGUGUGUGUGUGUGUGUGUAUGCAUGCGCGCACUCAUGUAUUUCACUGGCUCUUUGCUCUAUUUCUUCUCAUAAACUACUUGCCUUUUCAGCAAGGACCAGCUGCACACCAGCUGGGGCAGAGGCGAGAGGGUCUCUGAGGGGUGUGUGCAAAAGAGGAGAGAUCCUCCGGUAUGGAAAAUGAAGGAGGAGCUGGAGAUGGCUCAGAGGUUAAAGGCAUCUGCUGCUCUUGCCACAGGCAGGACUUUGGUUCCCUGCAUCUGAAUCUGGCAGCUCAUAACCACCUGUAACUGCAGCUCCAGAGGAUCUGAUGCCACCUUCUGGCCUCUGCAUUAACCUACACACACUCACACACAAUGAUGAUGACAAUGAUGAUGUCGACGACGACGACGAUGAUAAAUUUUUUUAAAGGAAAACCACAGAGAAGGGCUGGUAUCAGGUAGCUGACUCAUCAGGGCUUCUAAACUCAAUCUGACUCAAGACUUAGUUUUUAAGAUCUUGAAAGAGAUUACACUUGUCAAAAAGCAAAGAACUGGAGACAUAGAACUAUGAAAGAGACUCCCAGUUUAGUGGUCACAGUGCCCUAUAGCCCGAGGGUGGGGUUCCUUGACAGGGAAACCCAGGGGUCUCCUGUUCAUGGGUAACCUGGGUUAUUACCACUCCAUGUGCUAGGGAGAUUCCAUCAGAGUCCCUGUGGAUGCCUCUGUGUACCUGUUCAUGGAGGGGCCACCAGUUAUGGUGCACAUCUCUCUCAGGUACUGGAUGCCUGGGGGUCCUGUUAUUAGUGACUUCCACACACUAUUCAUGGGCUGUGGAUUAUGUUUCUCAAGAGAGUGACAUUAGCAAUGUAAACCUAUAUAUUGCCUCAUGAAAGCUUUGAUCUGUCGUAGAAGACAAGAUCCCAGUGUGCCUGACACGUGGUAUGAGAGGCACUGUGAUUGUUAACUUGGUGAGAUUUAGAAUCUUGCUUGAAGCAUACCCCUAGGUAUCUGUGAAGGUUACUGGGCAGGUUUAACUGAAUUGAGAAGACCUCCCCCCAAUGUGUGUGUGUGUGUGUGUGUGUGUGUGUGUGUGUAUCAUCCAUGGCUGGUGGCCCAUGCUGAAUAAAAAAGAGAAAGUGAGCUGAGUGUAGCAUUCAUCUCUCUGCAGAUGCAAGGUAACCAUCCUUUUCACGGUCCUAUUGCCAUGACUUUUCUGACACGAUACACUGUAUCCCCAAACUAUGAGCCCAAAGAAAUUCUUCCUUCCUUAAGCUUCUUUUGUCGAGUAUUUUGCUACAGAAAGAGAACGGCUGGAGGCUCCAGAAGCACAUGCACCUGGUGACAUCUGCCCGCUGUCCGGGACACCUGUGCUCUUCUUGUGUCUGGUUCCACAAGAGCUCUGGUGGCAUCUGGCUUUUGUCUUCCAGUCUCUACCCACUGGAGGGAACCUGUCAACCAGAUUCAGGAAGUAAGAUGGAAAGCCCCUUCCCCAAACCCUUAGCAAGGAUGGAGCCAAAUGCUUUGGAUGGAAUUUACAAUCUACAAUUUGUCUGUAACAUUGUUUCUGGGGUCAGUAGGUGGAUGAGGCAGGAGGAGGCAGGAAGAAAGCUAAGAGAAGGAAAUAUAAUUUCAAAUUCAUUCAUGAUUUAUCUGUUUGCUCCCUGUGGCUGCAGGGGAAUUUUUAACUACACUGCAAGAUGGCCGGGCUGUGCCCAGUGCUGCGUGCCAUGGAGCUCAGAACAGCUCCUAAAAUGUUAACCUCUCCUUUGCUGGUGGCUUUCCACCUCACACGUUGCUGACCCCUAUCCUGGCCUUGUGUGGUGCUCAGCCGUAGGACAUAUCCUCACACAGCCUGAGCUCCUCCUUCCUGAUCCACUGAGAUUCAAUAAGAUGUAUCACAAGCUCCCACUGCCAUAGAUGGAGUCCCACCAUGAGUAGAUCUCUGUCUGUCAUGCCAGGAAGGACUGGAUCCCUGCAAAGUAGCUCACAGCUUUGAGUUUGCCUUGAGUCUCAGAAGAGAUUUUGAACUUUGGAUUUUUGAACAGUGUUGAAACUGUUAGGAGUAUUGGGACUUUUGAAGUUGGACUGAAUACAUCUUACAAUGUGAGCUGGCCAUGAGUCUAUGGGGGCCAGGGGUAGGAUGUUAUGGCUUGAA